rnacentral:lncRNA from 1 species
CAAAAUCUGCAGACUUUUUGAAAACGAUUCUCUAGAUUUAAAUGAUUUAAGUAUGAAUAAUUUACUCCCAGAAGACUAUCAUGUAGAUCAAGUUAUUCCUAGAAAUAAUGAGGACCCAGUUCUAAAUAUUCAGGGUAAAAAUUUACUGGAUAUAUGUAAGCUGCAAGACUUAGAAUAUUAAAUACAGAUAUCUAAUCAUACAAGUGGAACAAG